CACGUAGGAGACUAGCGUUAUUCGGAUUUACUGGGCGUAAAGCGCGUGCAGGCGGUUCGGUAAGUUGGAUGUGAAAGCUCCUGGCUUAACUGGGAGAGGUCGUUCAAAACUACCGGACUUGAGAGUGGUAGAGGGAGAUGGAAUUCCGGGUGUAGUGGUAAAAUGCGUAGAUAUCCGGAAGAACACCAGUGGCGAAAGCGGUCUCCUGGACCAUUUCUGACGCUCAGACGCGAAAGCUAGGGUAGCGAACGGG
rnacentral:rRNA from 1 species